AUUUUCUUUUUAUUUAUUCUUUUCUCAAACAAUACCCCUCAACUGCAGCCUCUUCACCCUCCUGUCCUUCCGGUCCACCCCACUCCCCUAAUCCCCCAUAUCAACUGCUUCUCUGUUUCCUUCAGAAAAAGAGCAGGCAUCCCACAGAUACCAACCGAUCUCAACCCAACAAGGCGCAAUAAGACAGGCACAAGUCCUCAUAUGCUCAAGUAUGUAUUCAUACCAUUUGAAAACAACAUUGGCCUGCAGCUCUUCUGUCACAACUGUGUACUCUCCUUUGUAAUUUCAUUGCCAAGAGCCCUCAUCCAGUGGCUGAUGGAGAAGAACACCCACAGAUACACACUUGUAGGGGAAGACUUAGGGGCUGGCUACAGGUGUGUCUGACCACGCUUGUGAGGGCGUGGUCAGAGUGACGUAAUGUGACUGCGUUUGCGCUUUCGGUUUCACUUUGCUUCUUUCUGUACAGACUGCUGCCACGCCAGCUGGCUAGGUCGCUCUGUAAGUAAGGCUUUUCCCUAUUAAAUACCCUUAUAUUUCUACCUGACUCUGUAUUGGUAAUUUCCCACUAUAUCUGGUGUCAGAAGUAGGAUAUUGGAA
rnacentral:lncRNA from 1 species